rnacentral:rRNA from 1 species
AACGUAGGGGGCGAGCGUUAUCCGGAUUUACUGGGCGUAAAGCGCAUGUAGGCGGUUGGGAAAGUUGGACGUGAAAGCUCCUGGCUUAACUGGGAGAGGUCGUUCGAUACUACCCGGCUGGAGGUUGGAAGAGGAGAGUGGAAUUCCCGGUGUAGUGGUGGAAUGCGUAGAUAUCGGGAGGAACACCAGUGGCGAAAGCGGCUCUCUGGACCAAUUCUGACGCUGAGAUGCGAAAGCGUGGGGAGCAAACGGG